GGGGGGGCAAUUAGUGGUGUGGACAGAGAGAACCUCAGCUUAGCCUGGUAAUGAAUAAAAAUGUGGACUAUAGCCUGUUUAAGCAGAGGUUGUGUUUUUCAUGGUACCGCAUUUCCAUGAGCCUCAGGCAUUAUAGAUCCCGGUGAAGUAUUGUACAUGUUUGUAGAAUCUGCAUUGUGUUCACUCAACUCAUCUGUUGUCGGUGAUUUCUUGCAUGUAAGAGUCUUUGUCGGAAUAAGAGGUGAGGAUUCAUAUAUCUGUCUGGACAGUAGACGUGUCAAUGAAAGAAAGGAAUCAAGACACACAACGUUGCUGUAUAGUAACACUUAUUCUUCAGUCUAUUUAACAAAAUAGUUUUUGUCUCCAUAAAUAAUACUUUUUUCCCCCGUCUGCCUCGGAUUUCCAGAAUACACAUACGUUUUCAAGGUAUUUACAAGUUACUUUACACCAUGAGGGACACAAGGGGUUGUUUCAUUUUUAUUUGGAAUUCAAAUCUAGUGUGUGGUUAGAUGUACCCACUAUGUCAUAAAAGCUGUUCUGCAGUGGGGAGUGUUGUCUCAUCCAACCAAAUCCUCUUUUUGCUAAUAUUUUCUGUUUCUAAUUCGAUGUGGUAUGAGUGUUUUCAGAAGUUCAUAUUUGUGUCAUCUUUAGGACUAACCCCUUGUGCCCAUAUAAUAACACAGUUUGAUUGUUUAAUAACAGUGUUUUCUCUUCUUAUUAGAUAGUACUCUCAGUUGGUUUUUCAGGCACACUUUAUGUAACAGAAAAAAAAAGAAAAAGCUGUAGAACAAUCUUUCAUAGCUUCCAGAUACAGUAAGUCGGUGUCUUGUAAAAAGAGCAGUGGUAUGAUACACCUUCACAGCCGUAUGAUGGGCAGCGGACCAGCAGUGUCUGGAGUGGGUUGUUAGGUGUGUUAGUGAGCAGGGCUAGUAGGAUAGACUUUCAGGGCCAGGCACACAAAAGACCAGACCAUUACAGAAUGAAGAGAAAAUGAACAGGUCGGCUCUGCUCCCUCGAAUUUUCAAAAUAAAUAAAGAACUCGUGCUCUAAUUUGAAACUCCAGCUGGGGUCUUAGUGUUGGGUACAAAAUCUACCGCACACUGCUAUAGUUUGUCUGAAGAGUUUGAGAGUACCUUGUAAGCUCCUUAUAGAAUCCUGUUUUGGGUGGGAAAUGCGUGGUCGAAACAUUUUAAGACCACUCUCUUAGCCUUUGCACUUAUUGGCUUCAGUUUUUAUUAGCAAUGAGAUCUUCCGCAGCUGUUCACGAAACCGAGGUUGUGAUUAUCAUUCAAGAGAAUGUAUAACAAUAAAAGGUUAUCAAUAUCAACAGGAGAGGGGUUAUUUUAAUGUGAUCCAUGACCGGAGGGUGUCCACUGCUUUAGCCCGAAGGAGAUAAGUUGUCUUUCAACAACCUGGAAAUCCGUGACCUUUUCAGGGAUCCCUAGCUCCACAGACAGGUAUAAAGUAUACAUUUGCAUGAUUAUAUGCAAUAUAUGUCUCUGUGCAUCCCUCUGUACAUUGAACCCAACUGGCUGUAAAAUACUUGUUCAGAUGUGUCCUUGCUAACACUUGGCCAUAUCCUGUACAGUAGUGGAAACUAGUAGGGACUCUAGGCUUGCUGUACUGUAUGUAAAGGAUACGAAUUAUUCACUCUUGAGUAUUCAUGUAUUAUACAGUACUGUUCAAAAGUCUUAGGCAACUGAAGGUCAAACUAAAGUUGUUUAUUUGGAUAGUG
ensembl:lncRNA